rnacentral:rRNA from 1 species
GAGCUUGCUCUAGGGAAUUAGUGGCGAACGGGUGAGAAACACGUGAGUAACCUGCCCUUGACUCUGGGAUAACCUCCGGAAACGGAAGCUAAUACCGGAUACGACGUACGGAGGCAUCUCCUGUACGUGGAAAGAACUUCGGUCAAGGAUGGACUCGCGGCCUAUCAGGUAGUUGGUGAGGUAACGGCUCACCAAGCCUACGACGGGUAGCCGGCCUGAGAGGGUGACCGGCCACACUGGGACUGAGACACGGCCCAGACUCCUACGGGAGGCAGCAGUGGGGAAUAUUGCACAAUGGGCGCAAGCCUGAUGCAGCAACGCCGCGUGAGGGACGACGGCCUUCGGGUUGUAAACCUCUUUUAGUAGGGAAGAAGCGAAAGUGACGGUACCUGCAGAAAAAGCACCGGCUAACUACGUGCCAGCAGCCGCGGGAAUACGUAGGGUGCGAGCGUUGUCCGGAAUUAUUGGGCGUAAAGAGCUCGUAGGCGGUCUGUCGCGUCUGCUGUGAAAACCCGAGGCUCAACCUCGGGCCUGCAGUGGGUACGGGCAGACUAGAGUGCGGUAGGGGAGAAUGGAAUUCCUGGUGUAGCGGUGGAAUGCGCAGAUAUCAGGAGGAACACCGAUGGCGAAGGCAGUUCUCUGGGCCGUAACUGACGCUGAGGAGCGAAAGCGUGGGGAGCGAACAGGAUUAGAUACCCUGGUAGUCCACGCCGUAAACGUUGGGCGCUAGAUGUGGGGACCAUUCCACGGUUUCCGUGUCGCAGCUAACGCAUUAAGCGCCCCGCCUGGGGGAGUACGGCCGCAAGGCUAAAACUCAA